UACGGAGGGGGCAAGCGUUAUUCGGAAUUAUUGGGCGUAAAGGGCGCGUAGGCGGCUAGAUGUGUCAAAGGUGAAAUCCCUCGGCUCAACUGGGGAACUGCCUUUGAAACUGUCUGGCUUGAGGCCGGGAGAGGGUAGCGGAAUUCCCAGUGUAGCGGUGAAAUGCGUAGAUAUCAGGAGGAACACCGGUGGCGAAGGCGGGUCUCUGGGCCGAUACUGACGCUGAGGAGCGAAAGCGUGGGGAGCGAACAGG
rnacentral:rRNA from 1 species